rnacentral:rRNA from 1 species
UAGGGAAUAUUGCGCAAUGGGGGAAACCCUGACGCAGCGAUACCGUGUGUGGGAGGAAGGUCUUCGGAUUGUAAACCACUGUCAAAAGGGAAAAAUGGCGCGUAUGCGAAUAGGAUAUGCGAUUGAUGGUACCUUUAAAGGAAGCACCGGCUAACUCCGUGCCAGCAGCCGCGGUAAUACGGAGGGUGCAAGCGUUGUUCGGAUUUAUUGGGCGUAAAGCGCGCGCAGGCUGGAUAGUAAGUCAGAUGUGAAAUCUCGGGGCUCAACUCCGAAACCGCGUCUGAAACUGUUAUUCUAGAAUAUCGGAGGGGGAUGGGGUAUUUCUCAUGUAGGGGUAAAAUCCGUAGAGAUGAGAAGGAACACCUGGGGCGAAGGCGCCAUCCUGGACGAUAAUUGACGCUGAGGCGCGAAAGCGUGGGGAGCAAACAGG